AACGGUCUAUACCUGCGGUACCUGCGGAAGGAUCAUUACAGAGUUCGUGCCCUCUGGGUAGAUCUCCCACCCACUGUUUUCCUUACGACCGUUGCUUUGGCGGGCCGCCGGCCCUGCCCGGCCGCCGGCGCCCAGCUGGCGCGCGCCCGCCAGAGGCCCUCCAGACUCUGAAUGUUAGCGUCGUCUGAGUACCACAUAAUAAGUUAAAACUUUCAGCAAUGGAUCUCUAGAUCGGAAGAG
rnacentral:misc_RNA from 1 species